GAGUGUAGCCCGAUCCAUAUAAGUAUAUUGUUGCGGUGUGCAGCCCUGUCCAUAACAUAUAAAUGUCCUCACUAUUGGGUUUUCAACUUCUCUCAGUCAAUAUAAUCACAGCCUCUCGGGCAUACUAAUACAAAAUAGGGGUCUCAGCCCACAUAUUGCUUUCAUUUAUGAUUAACAUUUAAAAACCAAUUCGUACAGUGUUAAACAACUAGAAGCAUGACUGAGGAUAGGAUCUUUAACAAGUAAGAUGACGAUAAUCAGCAAAAGAAUGCCCUAAUGGGUCCUACAGGCCGGCACAAGGCUCCAAACACGGUGACUAGCCAAAUCAUGACAAUAAUAAUAAACUAGCCUUAGUAAAAAAACAUGCUAAAAUCAUCAACGGGAUGAACCCAUUAAUGAUCCCCAAUAAAAAUGUACGCCACGCUCAUCAUAGAUUGUGUGCCUCAACUCAAUAUAGCACUAAGUUGUGCAAAUUCGGUGUUUCAAAUCCUCAGGACACCAUUUAUAAUCAUUACACACCUCAAGCCGGCCAAAUCUCUAGCUCGCUAUGCUCUUUCCUCUCAAAUCAGCCUUCUCGUGCAUCGAAUCUGACCAAAACCAAAUGAAUACAUCACAAUAGGCUAAGGAAACAUAACCCAAUCGAAAAGAAUCGAGAAAUAUCGAAAAUCACAAAAUUUACAAAACCCGAGCCCACUUCUCGAAUUCCAAAAAAUUUUACAUCAACAGAUUCCUUAUCUCGCCAUGAGUCUAUACAUAUUAGGAACUCUCAAAUCCGAGCUCAAAUGGCCCUUCAAAUUCCAAUUUAAAAUUUCAAAAACUCAAGCCCUAGUUUUCUUAUAACUGAAGAAAAUCUGUUGCAUUAAAUUAUGCACGAGAUGGUUCAUUUGAUUCAUGUUCCUUCUCUUAUAACUAGCUACUUGAGUACUACAUCUUAACUGAAGAAAAACUGUUGCAUUUGGUAUGUUACUUAGUCCAUUUUUGCUAAGUUUUCAUGAAUUUCAAGAUUAAUUUCACAAUUAAAUCAUUUUUUAGUUCAUAGCACUCUCCUCCAAUCAAUCCCAGUCAAAACCCUCUUCAAUUCCCGUCCAAAAGCUCUAAUUGAUGCACAACAAUGGAGGAAAUUAACUUAACCUCGCGGAACAAAAUGUUUUAAAACCCUUCUGCCCAGGUUCCUUUUUCCUCUAUGCGAUCACAUCCCCAAGCUUGCGAUCGCAAUGCACAAUAAUUCCGGUUCCAAAUUUAAUAGUACACGAUUGCAAAUAUAUAUUUAUAUAUAUAUAUAUAUAUAUGCAAUUGCAAUGCACAAGAUCCUUAAACUAUACGAUCGCACACCUACACCUGCGAUCGUAUUGAACAAUUUUCUACUCAAUUCCCAGAUCAACUUCACACUGUGCGAUCGCAAGCCUCCCUCUACGAUCACAUUGAACAACCAACCACCCCCUUAAAAUCCUCGUAUGCGAUCGCAGAGAACAAAAGUCUGCAACACUGAACCUGUAAUUUCUGCAACAUCCUAAGUCCCAAAGACCUUCUGUUAGCCAUCCGAAAUCAUCCAGAGGCCCCCGGGACCUCAACUAAGAGCACCAACGCAUCCUAAAACAUCAUUCAAACUUGUUCCAAUCAUAAAAACACAUCAAACAAUGCUAAAACCAUCAAAUUACAUCGGAUUCAAGCCUAAGUUCUUAUGAAACUUCUGAAACACGCAUUCGAUCAAAAACCCGACCAAAUCACCUCUGAAUGACCUGAAACUUUCAAAAAAUAUCCCAAAUCACAUAACAAAGCUACAACAACUCAUAGAAUCUCAUUCUGAUCCUCGGAUCAGAAUUUCACCUAUCAACCGAAAUUCGCCAAAAUACCAACUUCGCCAGUUCAAGCCUAAUUCUACAUCGAACAUCCAAAAUCGAUUUCGAUCACGCUCCUAGUCACAAGUCAUCCCCCAGAGCUAACCGAAUCACCAAAAAUCACAUCCGAACCCUCUAACUUAUAAGUCAACAUCCGGUUGACUUUUCCAAACCAAACCUUCCUUAAAGAGACUAAGUGUCUCAUUUCCUACCAAAACAUCUCGAGACCAACUCGAUCACAUAAGAUACGGAUAAUGAAGCAUAAUGAAGCUGAAAAAGGGGAAAACAAAGCGGUAACUCACGUGACGACAGGUCGGGUUGUCACAGCUCUUACAUUUUUAAGGAAUAGAGCUUCUGCUAUUAUCUGUGAAGAAACAAGCAAUAUUGUUCCUGCAGAUCUGUAUCUACUUGGAGCAGCUCUUUCACUAAGAUUUGCAAGAUUACGGAUUACACCUUUUAGCAUAGACAUGGCUCUGAACUUGAGAAGUCCGAUAAACUUCUUCACUAAUCUGGUGAAUUACUAUUCCAAACAACCUAACAUAACAAGAAAAAGGAACAUCACAAAUUGUAAAAAAAAGAAAAAAGUGCUAUCAAACAUCGUCAAUUUAUAUCAACAAUGUUCCACCAAAUCAUACAUCAAAAGAAAGUAAGGACAUUAAUUAUAAAUGAAAAAAGAAAAAUUUGCAAGACUUCUAGUGCAACAAGCCACAAAUUGAAAUACAACCUAAAGUACUGAAACGAAGUAACAAGAAAGCAACAACUACUGCACAUUUGCUUCAGAUUAUACCUGUAGUUUGAUUGGAAAUUAACAGAAAGCUGCAGUCUUGCAGCCUCAUUACUCCAAUGCUAAGUGAACAUUAG
rnacentral:lncRNA from 1 species